rnacentral:rRNA from 1 species
UGGCGGACGGGUGGGUAAUGUCUGGGGAAACUGCCUGAUGGAGGGGGGUAACUACUGGAAACGGUAGCUAAUACCGCAUAACGUCGCAAGACCAAAGAGGGGGACCUUCGGGCCUCUUGCCAUCGGAUGUGCCCAGAUGGGAUUAGCUAGUAGGUGGGGUAACGGCUCACCUAGGCGACGAUCCCUAGCUGGUCUGAGAGGAUGACCAGCCACACUGGAACUGAGACACGGUCCAG